GAACUAUUUAAUCCCACCUUGAGAUACAUACAAAUGAUGGGAAACCAUGCAGUCAUUAAAAGAACGAAGACUUGAAUAUGUUUCCAGGCUAUGUUAAAGGAGCCAACGUAUUAGCAGAGAUUUAAGAUAUUUUGUGAAGUAAGAUCAUGGAGAAGGCAGAAAUGUAGUCCAGAGAAAAUGCACAAAUAAAAAUUGAAUGCUUCUUUCUUCAAUAAAAGAAAGGCAACAGAUGAGGAUGAUUGAAGAUGGAGAUGGCAUUUUAAUUGGAAACCCAUCAUCAGAAAGACCAUCAUCUCACCAUAUUCAGAAGGUGAGAUAAGAUGAGGACCUAUGAAGGGUACACUAUUUCAACAGCUGCUACUUGGAUUGGAAUGAAAGCUGCCCACUGACUCAAG
ensembl:lincRNA